AGCGUUAUCCGGAAUCAUUGGGCGUAAAGCGCCUGUAGGUUGUUUAAUANNUCUGUUGUUAAAGCCUAGGGCUUAACCCUAGAAAAGCAAUGGAAACUACUAGACUAGAGUAUGGCAGGGGUAGAGGGAAUUUCUAGUGUAGCGGUGAAAUGCGUAGAUAUUAGAAAGAACACCAGUGGCGAAAGCGCUCUACUGGACCAUUACUGACACUCAGAGGCGAAAGCUAGGGUAGCAAAAGGGAUUAGAUACCCCUGUAGUCCUAGCCGUAAACGAUGGAUACUAGAUGUUGUGCAUAAUGUACAGUAUUGUAGCUAACGCGUUAAGUAUCCCGCCUGGGGAGUACGCUCGCAAGGGUGAAACUCAAAGGAAUUGACGGGGGCCCGCACAAGCGGUGGAGCAUGUGGUUUAAUUCGAUGCAACGCGAAGAACCUUACCAGGGCUUGACAUACUACGAAUUCUUUAGAGAUAGAGAAGUGCCUUCGGGAAUGUAGAUACAGGUGGUGCAUGGCUGUCGUCAGCUCGUGUCGUGAGAUGUUGGGUUAAGUCCCGCAACGAGCGCAACCCUUGUUUUUAGUUACUAAUUCGUUAGGUUUUCUAGAAAGACUGCCGGUGACAAACCGGAGGAAGGUGAGGAUGACGUCAAGUCANCAUGCCCCUUAUGUCCUGGGCUACACACGUGCUACNAAUGGCUAAGACAAAGAGUCGCGAGCUCGCGAGAGUCAGCUAAUCUCAUAAACUUGGNCCUAAGUUCAGAUUGUAGGCUGCAACUCGCC
rnacentral:rRNA from 1 species